UAGAUUAGCAUGGCCCUUGCGCAAAGAUGACACACAAAUUCAUGAAGCAUUCCAUAUUUAA
rnacentral:snRNA from 1 species